rnacentral:rRNA from 1 species
CCCUUAGACGUUCUGGGCCGCACACGCGCUACACUGACCAGUGCAACAAGCAUCCGUCCUUGGCCGACAGGCUCGGGCAAUCUUUGAACGCUGGUCGUGAUGGGGAUAGACUUUUGCAAUUUUUGGUCUUCAACGAGGAAUUCCUAGUAAACGCAAGUCAUCAACUUGCAUUGAUUACGUCCCUGCCCUUUGUACACACCGCCCGUCGCACCUACCGAUUGAAUGGUCCGGUGAAGCCUCCGGAUUGGCGCGCACCUCGGUGCCGCCGAGAAGUUGGCUAAACCUUACCAUUUAGAGGAAGGUGAAGUCGUAACA